GUUGGUCUUCGGGUGAUUACGCAAGAAAGAGGAGGAGUCUAGGAUUGUCGCACCUUUAUGGACUGUACUGUGUCAUGAUUGCAGUGUUCCUAGGAAGUGUUAUACUGAUGAUUUUCUUUGCUGCUGAAUGAAAAAAAAAAGAAAGAGAAUGCAUAAUACUCGCCUCCGUGCCCUCAAUAAAAUCAUGACUUUACGUCAUGCUAAUAGUAAAAUCUGGGAAUUAUGUUUUUACUGUUUCAGUGCCAGGUCUAUGAGACUUACUUUUCUCUCCAAUGUGCAGGUCACAUCUAUGGCGUUAAAGUUAAACCAUGAAAAGUGGGUUUUAUUUGUAAAAACAUUUUUUUCACCUUUUAUUUCUUUUUAUUUUAUUUUGAAAGCUAUUUUCAUGUUCCAUAUGGGUCCACUAAAUCAGGAGGUGGUGUUCCAAAGAGAGGGGGUGGAGACAAGUUAUGUGGGGAGAGUCUGGCGCCCACAUCAUUUUAAAACUUCACCAGCCUCCCAUGGUAUUCGGUUGUGCAUCCUCUAAUAAUAUAUAGUCUCUAGAACAGUGUUUCCCAAACUAGUCCUCAAGACCCACCAAAAGUCAAGGUUUUGUCAGGAUCUCGAUUGGAAUAAAAGAGGGAACUGCAAAAAUCCUGGUUUGUUGAUGGGUCAUGAGGACUGGUUUGGAAACCACUGCUCUACAGGUAUCUAAAGCAUUUUUUUCUUGGGAGAUGCUGAUUGAUGUUGUCUCCACUGCACUAUUGGAUGGUAAUAGCUGUUUACUGACUAACAGUAAUAAGAUUAAUUUACAGUUAAAUGAACUCUUUAGUAUUAGGAAAAUAAAGAUGCAUUCUAACACUAGGAAAGGGCUACAAAAAAAAUUUCCUUUAAC